rnacentral:rRNA from 1 species
UACGUAGGGUGCAAGCGUUAAUCGGAAUUACUGGGCGUAAAGCGUGCGCAGGCGGUGAUGUAAGCCAGUUGUGAAAUCCCCAGGCUCAACCUGGGAACUGCAUCUGUGACUGCAUCGCUGGAGUGCGGCAGAGGGGGAUGGAAUUCCGCGUGUAGCAGUGAAAUGCGUAGAUAUGCGGAGGAACACCGAUGGCGAAGGCAAUCCCCUGGGCCUGCACUGACGCUCAUGCACGAAAGCGUGGGGAGCAAACAGG